CAGGCUGGUCUUGAACACCUGAGCUUGGGUGAUCCACCCACCUUGGCCUCCCAAAGUGCAGGAAUUACAGGUGAGAGCCACCAUGCCUGGCCCAGACAUUUGAAUUUCUGAUCAUUUAUUUGUAGCCAUUUUUUUCUCCCUGGGACUUAAUUUUUUUUUUAACAGCUUAUGGAGGAAGAAUUUAGAUAAUUAUUCAAGGAUUAUUUAGUAAAUUUAUAGAGUUUUCUAGCCACCACCACAAUCAACCCCAAAAACUUUCCUCGUGUCCAUAUGUAGCCAAUCAUGACUCUCGCCCAGCCCCAGGCAGCCACCUGCUCUACUGUACUUCCUUUCUUUUAUAGAGACAGGGUCUCACUGCUGUUGCACGGACAGGAGUGCAGUGGCACAAUCCACUGUUCUACUUUCUGUCUCUAUAGAUUUGUCUUUUCUUGACAUUUUAUGUAAAUGGAAUCAUACACUAUGUAGUCUUUGGCAUGUGGCUUUUUCCACUCAGUGCAGUGUUUUGUGGUUCAUCCUAUUAGCAUGUCUCAGUAGUUGGUUCUUUACUAUUGUCGAAUAGUAUUGUACACAUUUUAUUUAUCCAUUGACCAGUCAGUGGGCAUUUAGAUCCUUUACAGUUUUUGUCUGUAAUGAAUAAAGCUGCUAUGAACAGUCACAUACAGGUCUUUAUGUGGCAUAUGAUUUCAUUUCUUUGGGGUAGGCACCCAGGAGUAGAAUUGCUGGGUUGUUUGGUAAGCUUGUGAUUGACUUUUUAUAAACUGCCGAACUUUUUCUAAAGGGACUGUGCAUGAGCAAUACAUGAGGGUUCUAGUUUCUCUACAUCUUCACCAACAUUUUAUAUUAUCUGACUUCUUGAAAAUAGGCAUCCCAGUGAGUAUGUAUCUUGUUAGUUAUACUUUACAUUUUCCUCAUGAAUAAUCAUGUUAAGUAUCUUUUCAUAUGCUUAGUAGCCAUUUGUAUAUAUUUUCUGAUGAAAUGCCUAUUCAAAAAUAGUGUCCAUUUUUAAUUGGAUUUUUGCCUUAUUCAGUUGUAAGAGUUCUUUAUAUGUUCUAGAUAUAAGAUCUUUAUUAUAUGUAUGAUUGCUUAUAUUUUCUCCUAGUCUGUGGCUUAUCUUUUUAUUUUCUUAGUGAUAUCUUUUGAAAUUUUAAAGAAAUCUAAUUCAUCAGUUUUUUUUAUGGAUUAUGAUUUUUGUGUUGUACCUAAGAACUAUUUGACUAACCCAAGUCACAUAGAUUCUCCUGUCUAUUUUCUUCUGGAAGUUUACUGUUUUACCUCCUGCAUUGUGAUAUAUUUUCCAUUUUGAUUUAAAUAUUAUGUGUGAUAUAAGGAGAGGUUCCAGAUUCAUCUUUUUGAGUGUGUGUAUCCCUUUGUUUAGAGCCAUUUGUUGAGAAAACUAGUCCUUCCCCAUUGAAUUGUCUUGGUAUCUUUGUUGAAAAUCUGUAUAUAGUACCAUGCAAUCUUGUUUAUUGAAGCUUCAGAAUAUAUGUAAUAUUGAGUAGUGUUAAGUUCUCAAACUGUUCUUUUUUUCAAAAGUAUUUUGGCUAUUCUACUUCCUUUGUAUUAGAAUACCAAUUCUGUCAGUCUCAUACACAAAAAAAGUCUGUUGGAAUUUUGAUAGAAAUUUCAUCAGAUCUGUAGAUCAUUUAGAGGAAAAUUGCCAUCUCAAUAGUAUUAAGUUAGCAUGGAAUUUGUAUUUAUAUCAGAGCUUGGCAAACUUUGUUCUGAAAGGGCUAAGUAGCGAAGAAUUAUUUUCAUAAGCCCUGCAGUCUCAGACACAGCUACUCAACUCUGCUGUUGUGGUGAGAAAGUAGUGUGGCCAAUGAGCUGUGUUCCAGUCACUAUUUAUGAAAGCUAGGGGCCGGACCCUGGGCCUCUCACUUGAUCAUCUUUAAUUCCUCUCAGCAGUGUUUCGUAGUUUUCAGAGCACAAGUCUUGCACUUAUUUAAUAAAAUUUAUUUGUAUUUUAUUCUUCUUAAUGGUAUUGUGAAUGGGAUUGCUUUUUAAAUUUCAUUUUCAGAUUGUUCAUUCCUAGUACAUACAAAUAUGAUUGAUUUUCAUAUGAUGAUCUUUUUUCCUGUGACCUUGCUAAAGUUGUUUAUUAGUUCUAGAAGGUUUUAUGGAUUCUUAGGACUUUUUAGGAAUCUGUUCUGUGUCCUUGUGGGUUCUGAAACGUCACAUUGUGUACCUUGGCGUGAGUCUACUUUCCUCCAUUGCAUGGACCAACUUUCUUAUCAUCUGUGAAAAACUAACAGCGAAAUUCCUUUGUCGAGUUUAGGGCAUUUGUUUUGUGGCUUUGUCUUUGUAAGGAAAGAGAAAGAACAUGAUUAUGUUAUGCUUGUAGUAAAACUAUCAUAGGAAAAAAUUUUCAACAAUAAUAGGUGUGUUAAAACUGUAAUAAUACAAAUUAUCUGUAGAUAAUUGAAAAUUUUUCCUAAGACAAAUGAAAUCUACAGAUUUCAUUUCUUAUGCCUCUGGCAUAAAUACAUCAACAGCAUUAUGAGCAGAUUUGUUUUCUUUAAAAAAAAAGUGGGAUUAAAGCAUACAGCACUUGCCAUUUUUCUGUUGCUCUGUGUGUGAAAACUGCUUUGUAGAUUCUAACAUAGUUGACUCCCUUAACAGCAUGUUUCAACUCUACAUUUCUUUCAUUUUUCUUUUGGUUUACAUUAUGGAUUUCUUCUCUUCCCUUCCCCUACUAAUAGCCAAUUGGGAAAGACCUUGUUAAAGCGAAGGAAUGGAAAAGUCUUUACUAAGGUAAUGUAGUCAUAACUUCAGGCACAGGAGGUUUCAUAAGGGGUGGUUCUAGUGUCGGGGAUUCAUGGCAGGUGUUGUGCAGUGGACCACCAUUCAAUCUCUGACCUUAAGUGUAUACAUUUGGUUGAACUUCUCUAUCUUAUUAUUUUAUUAACCAGUUUAUUCAUUUCUAAGCAGCAUUUAUUGAACACCUGCUGUAUGUUGUUUCCUAGAAAUGCGAAGGAGAGUUAGCCCCUGUUAAGGGGCCGGCAUUAAAUUUGGGACAGACAGAAACAGUUUCUUAUGUUGCCACUCAGCUGAGCUUGAGGAACAGGCUGUGACUCAGCAGAGCAGCUGGCUUGAUCAGCAGCUGGUUCCACCAUAUGUGCAGGCCUCACGCUCCCACAAUGGACAGUUCUGACCUUGACUGACCUUUAGGCCAGUGUCCUCCAAGUCCAUCAGGCAGUCUGGGUGGAGUCAUUGGGAAUCUUGGGCUGUCUUCUAGUUUAUCCCAGGUCUUCCUCGCUAAUGGGGACAUGUUGGGGGAGAAAGAGCUGCUGCCCGAGUCAGGCCUUGCUGAACCGACAAGCUUGCUUUUUCACUUUUCCCCUUCUCUGUUUCACUCUGUUUACCUUUACUCAAUUGCCAGAGAUGAGAACAUUCCUUAGUGGUGUUCAGUUUUUCCUAAACCUAUUAGAGAUCUAUUUUUCUCUUUCAUUUAUAAGCUAUUACAGUACUGGGACCACAUGCAGUAUCUUCCUGUAACUGUGAAACCAGCUGUAGAGCAGCAUUCCUUACCUUUUUAUAAUACCCCAAAAUUUUUAAACCACAAACAGAGAAAAGUAUCUGUUAUAGAGGAAAGAAAGAAAAAAGAAAGAAAGAAAAAGAAAGAGAGAGAGAGAGAGAAAGAGAAAGAAAAACAUUGGCCUCCAUGGAGAGAGAGAGAGAGAGAGAAGGAAGGGAGGAAGGAAGGAAGUCAACAACUUAAUCAUGAAAUCACAUCUUAACAUGAAAAUAACAAAAUGAACAUCUUUCUACAAAGAGGACGAAUUAUCUUUUCAAGCGUCCUUGAUGAGAAAGACUAGAGAAGUCAUGCAGGCUGCAGCAUGGGGGCGUUAGGUGAGAUACAAGGAAGACCCUCCAGCUGGUAGAGAGUGGGGAAGCUUGAACUGAGUUAUGAAGAUCAUGUUAGACUUUUAAAAUUUACUGAGUAGAUUUUCAUUUCUUGGAGGCAUUUUAAAUACAGUCCUCUUGAAAACAAUAGAUACGUGGAACAUCCUUGGAAAAGUCAAUUUUAAUCGCAAGUACUCGUCAACUCUAUUUAUAAGCAAAAAAGAGAACAAAUCGCUUUCAAUCGUUAAUUUUUCUGUAGUUGUAUUAGGGUGCAAACUCAACUUGUGCUCCUCAUCUUCACAACUGUCUGUGAAGCCUACAUCAUUUGAAAAAGUAAAAACAAUGAGAAUUUGGAGAGCACGGUUAGCAAGGUGGUUGAUUGGUGAUGUUGUGCGUACGUUUUGUUUGUUUGUUUCUUCCUUUCGUGUUAAUACUCGUUUAAAGUUAACUUAGUCGGGGCACGAUGUAGUCUUAUCUGUAUAUUAUAGUUUAUUUGCUAUUGAGCUCAUUGGCUUCUAACUAAAAUAGGUCUGAGAUGUUAAUAAAGUAUUCUCCAGUUAUCUCCUUUCUUAGUCACCUUUGCUAUGUCCUCUUCCUGUGUCAACUCAAAACAUGAGUUUUCCAUACUGAUAGUGCCCCCACCAUGCUACCCGUUAUAGGUGAACGAUCUAAUUUUUCCCAGUAGCUUCCAAUCUCCUCUGUGGAUAAGUGUUAGUUUGAUAAUGAUAAUGAUAGUCAUAAGUUUUAUUAUCAUUGUUAUUGCUCUUCUUAUUAUUCUCUGGACCUCUGUGUUUCCUUAUCAGUAAAAUAAAUGUGGUCAGACCGAAAGAUGAUUUCUACGAUGACUUACGCCUUACCAUUUUGUGGUUCUAUGAUUCUAGAUAUACACUUUGAUAAUUAUAGAUGCUCAUUUCCUUAACGUUAUCAGAAGGGAAUGAUGAGCUGUGUUUCAAAAUAUUGAUUGUCUUAAUAAUAUGGCUAACUUCAAAAUGUCAUUAAGUAGAAUAUAUAUUUUGCAAUGUUUAUUAUUCAUUUUCCUGACUGAGAGACUGAGGCCAGUAGUAAAAACUUACAACCACCAAAUAUCAAAGUUGGAAGGGACCUGAGAGAGCAUCUUGUAUGUCCCCUGCUCUCAGAAAGUGGUGAUAUUCUCAACCCAAGAGUUAUGGUGACACGUUACAUAUAUCAAGAUAAACUCUUUAGGAGCUUCAGUGUCAUGGAAACCCUUUGUGUCAGCAACAUCAAAGCCCAUGAUUUUCUAAGUGGUAUUUCUCAUUGUGCAAUUCAUUGCAAAAUAAUAUUCCUAAGCUAUGAAAGAUUACACAUCUGUAGUACCAGGGUUAGCUCAAGAUUUCAGAGCAUGCUAAGUAGAUGCUUAUUCCUUUGACUGGUGAAAGUAGAAAAAAAAA